CAGCAGCCGCGGUAAUACGUAGGGGGCAAGCGUUAUCCGGAAUUACUGGGUGUAAAGGGAGCGUAGACGGUUAAACAAGUCUGAAGUGAAAUGCCGGGGCUCAACCUCGGAGCUGCUUUGGGAACUGUAGAACUGGAGUGUCGGAGGGGUAAGCGGAAUUCCCAGUGUAGCGGUGAAAUGCGUAGAUAUUGGGAGGAACACCGGCGGCGAAGGCGGCUUACUGGACGACAACUGACGUUGAGGCUCGAAGGCGUGGGUAGCAAACAGGAUUAGAUACCCCCGUAGUCCCUGUCUCUUAUAC
rnacentral:rRNA from 1 species